UGCCUUUGGUGGCUACCUUGGGUGUGUCC
rnacentral:piRNA from 1 species